GCUGAUACCGCCCAAGAGUUCAUAUCGACGGCGGUGUUUGGCACCUCGAUGUCGGCUCAUCACAUCCUGGGGCUGAAGUAGGUCCCAAGGGUAUGGCUGUUCGCCAUUUAAAGUGGUACGCGAGCUGGGUUUAGAACGUCGUGAGACAGUUCGGUCCCUAUCUGCCGUGGGCGCUGGAGAACUGAGGGGGGCUGCUCCUAGUACGAGAGGACCGGAGUGGACGCAUCACUGGUGUUCGGGUUGUCAUGCCAAUGGCACUGCCCGGUAGCUAAAUGCGGAAGAGAUAAGUGCUGAAAGCAUCUAAGCACGAAACUUGCCCCGAGAUGAGUUCUCCCUGAGACUUAGAGUCUCCUGAAGGAAC
rnacentral:rRNA from 1 species